UGGGGAAUAUUGGGCAAUGGGCGAAAGCUUGACCCAGCAACGCCGCGUGAAGGAAGAAGGUCUUCGGAUUGUAAACUUCUUUUAUGAGGGACGAAGGACGUGACGGUACCUCAUGAAUAAGCCACGGCUAACUACGUGCCAGCAGCCGCGGUAAUACGUAGGUGGCAAGCGUUAUCCGGAUUUACUGGGUGUAAAGGGCGCGUAGGCGGGGAUGCAAGUCAGAUGUGAAAUCUAUGGGCUUAACCCAUAAACUGCAUUUGAAACUGUAUCUCUUGAGUGCUGGAGAGGUAGAUGGAAUUCCUUGUGUAGCGGUGAAAUGCGUAGAUAUCGGGAGGAAUACCGGUGGCGAAGGCGAUUUACUGGACGACAACUGACGCUGAGACACGAAAGCGUGGG
rnacentral:rRNA from 1 species